rnacentral:rRNA from 1 species
GACGAACGCUGGCGGCGUGCUUAACACAUGCAAGUCGAACGGAAAGGCCCUGCUUUUGUGGGGUGCUCGAGUGGCGAACGGGUGAGUAACACGUGAGUAACCUGCCCUUGACUUUGGGAUAACUUCAGGAAACUGGGGCUAAUACCGGAUAGGAGCUCCUGCUGCAUGGUGGGGGUUGGAAAGUUUCGGCGGUUGGGGAUGGACUCGCGGCUUAUCAGCUUGUUGGUGGGGUAGUGGCUUACCAAGGCUUUGACGGGUAGCCGGCCUGAGAGGGGGACCGGCCACAUUAGGACUGAGAUACGGCCCAGACUCCUACGGGAGGCAGCAGUGGGGAAUAUUGCACAAUGGGCGGAAGCCUGAUGCAGCAACGCCGCGUGAGGGAUGACGGCCUUCGGGUUGUAAACCGCUUUCGCCUGUGACGAAGCGUGAGUGACGGUAAUGGGUAAAGAAGCACCGGCUAACUACGUG